ACCUCUUGGCGUGUGCCUUCAGUUCCCUGUUCUUGGACACAUAAGAAUUGCAGGCAAAGAAAUGUGGACGUGGAGAAGUAUGGAGUCAGCUUGCUACUCACAGGGUCAAAGUCAUCCAUCCCACAUUG